GGAUAUGAGGGUAAUAACCAAACAACGCACAAUAAUGGUAAUAAAGUUUCCUAUAUGUGAUGUAUAGGUAAAAAUCCCUUUUAGAAAGCCAAAAUUUCCCCAACCCAACCCAACACAACCCAAAAUGGAUCGAUCCGACCCGGUCCAACACCCAAACCCUUGUUCUUCUUAAUACCUAAAUCAAGACCUAAAAGGAGGAGACAAAAAAGAAGCAGUGCCGCAUUUUCACAAAGAACGGACCCCCAAUUCUAAAGAAGGAAAGCUGAUCUCCGCAAAAGAAAAAUGACAAUCUACAUCUUUAUUUAGAGAAGAACAUUAGUGUUCCCCCUUAGUGAAUUGAAGUUCUCUCAACUUUUGAGAGACUAGAAGCCGUCCAAACACCUCAUCUCAGCCAAUACCAUUGCCGCUACCGGAUUUCAUCAUCGGCUAGCCGGUGAGCAUGAUUCCAAACACUAACGUCCAUCCUCUCCUGUCAGCUCCAUUUCAUAGAAAUCGGAGCUCCGCGCUGAACAAGUUUCGCGAAGGUUUUGGUUUAAGCCCUGUUUCACUUCUGCAAAAUUAAUUUAAUUCCAGGUUCUUGCUCCAAAAAUGGAGUUUGUUCGAGGUUGAUUGAGUUCGUCGCCUAUUGGAAGUUUUGAUCUUGCCUUUGUUCUUCCCGCCGAAGUUUCUGUUGUUGUGUUUGUUUUCCGAUCGGAUUUCAAUUGCUUGAAUCCUAUUUUUUGUCGUCGACAUCUCUUGGGUGUACUGGGUAGAGGAUAUUUUCAAUUAGAGAGCUCAAUUGAAGGUCCAAUUCUAAUUCUUGUUCAUUUGUUAAUUUCCAACUCGUAUGGUUGUCCAUGUUUAAACGAAAAUAUUUGUUUGCACUUUGUGUUUGCUCUUGCGUUCUUAAGAAGUUUAUGUUGCUUGUAUAAAGGAAAUGAGUUGUUCAUGUUAUUAAUUGCUCUUUGUGAAAUUCUAUAUCCAAUAUUUGGUUGGUACUAAUGUAUCAUUUUAUUUAUUUUUUAGGAAUGGGGUCAUAAUUGUCAGAAAGUGUUAUUUCAAUUUAUUAAUGAACUUUGGAAGUAUCAGUGAAAGGAAGUAAAUUCUAAUAUGCGGCACCUUACAAACCAAAUUUAGACAUAAGUGUAAUUUGAUUGUUUUGGCCUAUACUUUUCCAGUCCGAAAUUCAUUUUCUAUGUUGGACAUAUUUUUGGGUGGGGGAAUUAUUUUGAAUGAAAUGAAUUUGGG
rnacentral:lncRNA from 1 species